GAGAGCUUGCUCUCGGGUGACGAGUGGCGGACGGGUGAGUAAUGUCUGGGAAACUGCCUGAUGGAGGGGGAUAACUACUGGAAACGGUAGCUAAUACCGCAUAACGUCGCAAGACCAAAGAGGGGGACCUUCGGGCCUCUUGCCAUCAGAUGUGCCCAGAUGGGAUUAGCUAGUAGGUGGGGUAACGGCUCACCUAGGCGACGAUCCCUAGCUGGUCUGAGAGGAUGACCAGCCACACUGGAACUGAGACACGGUCCAGACUCCUACGGGAGGCAGCAGUGGGGAAUAUUGCACAAUGGGCGCAAGCCUGAUGCAGCCAUGCCGCGUGUAUGAAGAAGGCCUUCGGGUUGUAAAGUACUUUCAGCGGGGAGGAAGGUGUUGCGGUUAAUAACCGCAGCAAUUGACGUUACCCGCAGAAGAAGCACCGGCUAACUCCGUGCCAGCAGCCGCGGUAAUACGGAGGGUGCAAGCGUUAAUCGGAAUUACUGGGCGUAAAGCGCACGCAGGCGGUCUGUCAAGUCGGAUGUGAAAUCCCCGGGCUCAACCUGGGAACUGCAUUCGAAACUGGCAGGCUAGAGUCUUGUAGAGGGGGGUAGAAUUCCAGGUGUAGCGGUGAAAUGCGUAGAGAUCUGGAGGAAUACCGGUGGCGAAGGCGGCCCCCUGGACAAAGACUGACGCUCAGGUGCGAAAGCGUGGGGAGCAAACAGG
rnacentral:rRNA from 1 species